GAAGGUAUAGCUCAGUGGUAGAGUGCAUGCUUAGCAUGCACGAGGUCCUGGUUUAAUCCCCAAUACCUCCA
rnacentral:tRNA from 1 species